rnacentral:rRNA from 1 species
AACCUGCCCAUAAGACUGGGAUCCCUCCGGGAAACCGGGGCUAAUACCGGAUAACAUUUUGAACCGCAUGGUUCGAAAUUGAAAGGCGGCUUCGGCUGUCACUUAUGGAUGGACCCGCGUCGCAUUAGCUAGUUGGUGAGGUAACGGCUCACCAAGGCAACGAUGCGUAGCCGACCUGAGAGGGUGAUCGGCCACACUGGGACUGAGACACGGCCCAGACUCCUACGGGAGGCAGCAGUAGGGAAUCUUCCGCAAUGGACGAAAGUCUGACGGAGCAACGCCGCGUGAGUGAUGAAGGCUUUCGGGUCGUAAAACUCUGUUGUUAGGGAAGAACAAGUGCUAGUUGAAUAAGCUGGCACCUUGACGGUACCUAACCAGAAAGCCACGGCUAACUACGUGCCAGCAGCCGCGGUAAUACGUAGGUGGCAAGCGUUAUCCGGAAUUAUUGGGCGUAAAGCGCGCGCAGGUGGUUUCUUAAGUCUGAUGUGAAAGCCCACGGCUCAACCGUGGAGGGUCAUUGGAAACUGGGAGACUUGAGUGCAGAAGAGGAAAGUGGAAUUCCAUGUGUAGCGGUGAAAUGCGUAGAGAUAUGGAGGAACACCAGUGGCGAAGGCGACUUUCUGGUCUGUAACUGACACUGAGGCGCGAAAGCGUGGGGAGCAAACAGGAUUAGAUA